rnacentral:rRNA from 1 species
GGAGGGUGCAAGCGUUAAUCGGAAUUACUGGGCGUAAAGCGUGCGUAGGUGGUUGGAUAAGUCAGGUGUGAAAUCCCCGAGCUUAACUUGGGAAUUGCGCUUGAGACUGUCUGACUAGAGUGUGGUAGAGGGUAGUGGAAUUCCGCAUGUAGCGGUGAAAUGCGUAGAUAUGCGGAGGAACAUCAGUGGCGAAGGCGGCUACCUGGACCAACACUGACACUGAGGUACGAAAGCGUGGGGAGCAAACAGGAUUAGAUACCCUGGUAGUCCACGCCCUAAACGAUGGGUACUAGAUGUCGGGAAGUUUAUCUUCUUGGUGUCGCAGCUAACGCAAUAAGUACCCCGCCUGGGGAGUACGGUCGCAAGAUUA